rnacentral:rRNA from 1 species
CCUACGGGAGGCAGCAGUAGGGAAUCUUCCACAAUGGGCGAAAGCCUGAUGGAGCAACGCCGCGUGGGUGAAGAAGGUCUUCGGAUCGUAAAACCCUGUUGUUAGAGAAGAAAACGCGUGAGCGUAACUGUUCACGUUUCGACGGUAUCUAACCAGAAAGCCACGGCUGACUACGUCCCAGCAGCCGCGGUAAUAAGUAGGAGGCAAGCGUUAUCCGGAUUUAUUGGGCGUAAAGGGAACGGAGGCGGUCUUUUAGGUCUGAUGUGAAAGCCCUCGGCUUAACCGGAGUAGUGCAUUGGAAACUGUGAGACUAGAGAGCAGAAGUGGUGAGUGGAAUGCAAUGUGUAGCGGUGAAAUGCUUAGAUAU